AUUGAACGCUGGCGGCAGGCCUAACACAUGCAAGUCGAACGAGUGGCGGACGGGUGAGUAAUGUCUGGGAAACUGCCUGAUGGAGGGGGAUAACUACUGGAAACGGUAGCUAAUACCGCAUACCAUCGGAUGUGCCCAGAUGGGGUACGCUAGUAGGUGGGGUAAAGGCUCACCUAGGCGACGAUCCCUAGCUGGGGUGAGAGGAUGACCAGACACACUGGAAUGGAGACACGGUCCAGACUCCUACGGGAGGCAGCAGUGGGGAGUAUGGCACAAUGGGCGCAAGACUGAUGCAGCCAUGCCGCGUGGAUGAAGAAGGCUUUCGGGUUGUAAAGUACUUUCAGCGGGGAGGCGUUACCCGCAGAAGAAGCACCGGCUAACUCCGAGCCAGCAGCCGCGGUAAUUC
rnacentral:rRNA from 1 species